CCUACGGGUGGCAGCAGUGAGGAAUAUUGGUCAAUGGACGGGAGUCUGAACCAGCCAAGUAGCGUGAAGGAUGACUGCCCUAUGGGUUGUAAACUUCUUUUAUAUGGGAAUAAAAUGAUCCACGUGUGGGAUUUUGUAUGUACCUUAUGAAUAAGGAUCGGCUAACUCCGUGCCAGCAGCCGCGGUAAUACGGAGGACCCAAGCGUUGUCCGGCAUCAUUGGGCUUAAAGGGGGCGUAGGCGGUUUGGUAAGUCGUUUGUGAAAGGUGCGGGCUCAACCCGCGCACUGCAGUUGAAACUGGGAGACUAGAGUACAGGAGGGGUGAGCGGAAUUCGCGGUGUAGCGGUGAAAUGCGUAGAUAUCGAGAGGAACACUGAUUGCGAAGGCGGGUUCCUGGACAUCAACUGACGCUGAGGCACGAAGGUGAGGGGAGCAAACGGGAUUAGAUACCCGAGUAGUC
rnacentral:rRNA from 1 species